AAAGUGUUGUAAAGGCUCACCUUUUAGCACAUUCACUUCACCAGAUGCACCUUGUUUCUUUUCCUCACCUUUAAUUGGGUGUGGUGCUUGGCCUUAAUUGCACUCACCUGUCACUCAUUAUAUAAGGACUGCACUCACCUACCCCUCACUCUUCCUUCACUCCCACAUGAGGCGGCAGCUGAGAGAUAGCAGUCCAUGUGUGUCUUUCCUUCUUUGCUUUAUUGAGUUGAGAAUAAAAGGAGAACCCUGUGAAUGAUUAGAUGACUGCUUAUUCUCAUUCUGAUCGGAUGAGCCCAUGAUGCUGAUUAUCUAAACCCUGAACCUUCCUUCCUCCAAAACAGAAAGAAAAGAGCUAACAAAGACAUGCAGCUGAAGUACUCUGAAGGAGAGAUGCAGGGAGGCACAGACAAUAGACGAACGGUCUGUGCAGCUCACAAAAGCAGCGAGGAACAGAUCGAACAUACCGAACUCUCCUUACCCGAGCUGAGUGGGUGCAGUCUUCAGCCCUGAGCGUCUCAUCUUAUUAUCUGCCCUCGUAGCAAAUGUGGCUCAAGUGUCGGAGCGGCCUGUGUACCAGCCGGAAGGUCAGCAGAUCAAUUCCCGGCCGCUCCAGUCUGCAUGUCAAAGUAACCUCAGGCUGCUGAACAUUCAGUGUGUAAAUAUUAGAAAAGCACAUAGGAAAGCGUAAGAUGCCAAAGAGGAAUCGUUCAGUCUCAUGGGACGCUGAUCCAGCUCGUGAUCCUCUGCAUGUCAUGUUUUCUCUGGUUGUGUAUUUUUGAUCAUCGUUAUUAAGCCUUCUGUUCUGCUGUUAUGUUUACAUUCAUGGUGCUGAUGAUGAUCCUGUUUUCUGUCUCUGUGUAGAGUUCAUAUGUUAGUUGGUCUGUUAGUUAUUUCCUGUCUUAUUUUCUUAUUAUUCUCUUGUGCUUUGUAUUUUUAUAGUUCUGCUUCAGCUCUUCUCCCACCUGUCUCCUGAUCCGUCGUUAUCCCAUGUGUACAUAAUGUCUCAGUUCCCUUUGUUGGGUUCUCCCUCAUAGUGUUCCUCCUUGUUCUGUGUUCUCCAAGAAGAUUUGUGGUUUGAAUCUUGUUUUUAUUUUUCAUAUCCUGUACAGAUUUUCUACUGAGUUCCAAGAAAAAAAUCUGUAAAGGAAUAACCUGUUUUAUGUGCACUGUAUGAAUAUAGCAUGGUGAAAUAUAUCACUUUAUUACAACACUUCUGUCAGUUGUUUUCACACCGUUAUAUUUUGCCAUAAAUGACUGUUUCCCUGUUUUAUAUUCUGAUCAGUAUGAAGAAACGUCCCCACAGACCUCAGUUGCAUGAAAAGUCGAACAAAAAGCUGACAGCGUGUAGCCAAUCAGCAGCUGAGCCCUGUCUA